rnacentral:rRNA from 1 species
UACGUAGGGUGCGAGCGUUGUCCGGAAUUACUGGGCGUAAAGAGCUCGUAGGCGGUUUGUCGCGUCUGCCGUGAAAGUCCGGGGCUCAACUCCGGAUCUGCGGUGGGUACGGGCAGACUAGAGUGAUGUAGGGGAGACUGGAAUUCCUGGUGUAGCGGUGAAAUGCGCAGAUAUCAGGAGGAACACCGAUGGCGAAGGCAGGUCUCUGGGCAUUAACUGACGCUGAGGAGCGAAAGCAUGGGGAGCAAACAGG